rnacentral:rRNA from 1 species
GAUGAACGCUGGCGGCGUGCCUAAUACAUGCAAGUCGAGCGAACAGACGAGGAGCUUGCUCCUCUGACGUUAGCGGCGGACGGGUGAGUAACACGUGGAUAACCUACCUAUAAGACUGGGAUAACUUCGGGAAACCGGAGCUAAUACCGGAUAAUAUAUUGAACCGCAUGGUUCAAUAGUGAAAGACGGUUUUGCUGUCACUUAUAGAUGGAUCCGCGCCGCAUUAGCUAGUUGGUAAGGUAACGGCUUACCAAGGCAACGAUGCGUAGCCGACCUGAGAGGGAGAGGGGCCACAAUGACACUGAGACACGCUCCAGACUCCUAGGGGAGGAAGCAGUGGGGAUUCUUCGGCAAUGGGCGAAGGCCGGAAGGAGCAACGCCGGGUGGGUGAGGAAGGUUUUCGGAUCGAAAAACUCUUUUAUUGGGAAAAAAAAAAGGUGUAAGUACUUAUGCACUUCUUGAGGGUACCUAAUCAGAAAGCCACGGCUAACUACGUG